rnacentral:rRNA from 1 species
UGGGGAAUAUUGCACAAUGGGAGAAAUCCUGAUGCAGCGACGCCGCGUGGGUGAUGAAGGCCUUCGGGUUGUAAAGCCCUGUCGGCUGGGAACAAGUUAGUCGUGCUCAUACCACGAUUGAUUGAGGGUACCAGCAAAGGAAGCACCGGCUAACCCUGUGCCAGCAGCCGCGGUAAUACAGGGGGUGCUAGCGUUGUUCGGAAUUACUGGGCGUAAAGGGCGCGUAGGCGGUCUAGCAAGUCAGGGGUGAAAUCCCGGAGCUUAACUCCGGAAUUGCUUUUGAUACUGUUAGGCUAGAGUGAGUUAGAGGAUGGCGGAAUUCCUAGUGUAGUGGUGAAAUACGUAGAUAUUAGGAAGAACACCGGUGGCGAAGGCGGCCAUCUGGGACUCAACUGACGCUGAGGCGCGAAAGCGUGGGGAUCAAACAG